GUGACAGUAAAUAAUGCACACAGUCUGUCAAACCUGUAUGUGCACACAUAUCACCUCUGCUGAAGAUCAUGAACUUUUAUAUCGCAGAUUAAACAUAUUAGGCACAUAUCGGACAGCAGAAGAGCUGAAAUGAGAGCAGAUUUGACUUUUCUGCACGUUUGAUUGCUGCUUCCUGUAGUCAGAGGCACAUUAUCAAAGACCGAUGCCAGAAAAGCCAGUAAGAUCCAGGAGGCUGAGGUGACAGUGGCUGAUCAUCCGGUGCAGGAUCGGGGUCUGCUGGUGACGGACCCUCAGUGGCGG